rnacentral:rRNA from 1 species
GAUCAUGGCUCAGGAUGAACGCUGGCGGCGUGCUUAACACAUGCAAGUCGAACGAAGCGCCUUGGACAGAUUCUUCGGAUGAAGUCUUUGGUGACUGAGUGGCGGACGGGUGAGUAACGCGUGGGUAACCUGCCUUGGAGUGGGGAAUAACACAGUGAAAACUGUGCUAAUACCGCAUAAUGCAUUUGGGUCGCAUGAUUCUGAAUGCCAAAGAUUUAUCGCU